GACGGACGCUGGCGGCGUGCUUAACACAUGCAAGUCGAACGGAAAGGCCCUGCUUUUGCGGGGUGCUCGAGUGGCGAACGGGUGAGUAACACGUGAGUAACCUGCCCUUGACUUUGGGAUAACUUCAGGAAACUGGGGCUAAUACCGGAUAGGAGCUCCUGCUGCAUGGUGGGGGUUGGAAAGUUUCGGCGGUUGGGGAUGGACUCGCGGCUUAUCAGCUUGUUGGUGGGGUAGUGGCUUACCAAGGCUUUGACGGGUAGCCGGCCUGAGAGGGUGACCGGCCACAUUGGGACUGAGAUACGGCCCAGACUCCUACGGGAGGCAGCAGUGGGGAAUAUUGCACAAUGGGCGGAAGCCUGAUGCAGCAACGCCGCGUGCGGGAUGACGGCCUUCGGGUUGUAAACCGCUUUCGCCUGUGACGAAGCGUGAGUGACGGUAAUGGGUAAAGAAGCACCGGCUAACUACGUG
rnacentral:rRNA from 1 species